CUUGAUGGAGCCGAGCCACAGGGGCUGCUCGGCGGGGCGGUCCUGCCCGUACGUGGCGAGGAGCGCCUGCGCCUC
rfam:Streptomyces alboflavus strain MDJK44, complete genome.